GCAUAAAAGGAGUACACAGGUAAAUCGCUUUAUGACCUCACAAUCUAGCAUACAAGUAAAAUUAGCUUUAUAAAUUUAUAUACACAUAGUGAGUUACACUGCCAUUAUAUAUAUUUACAAGCUUUCUGUCAACAUAAAAGGUAUUGAGCCUAAUGAAUACAAAAUAGAAUUACAGUUCAUAUUUUUGGUGACCAUGGUGUUACCCUUACAGGCCAUGAGGCAAUCAUGAUCAUUGCAGCAACAAGAGUUCGAAUAGAUUAUGUGCUGUCAGAUAUAACCGGUGCAGCGGGAAAAAUGUGUCGUUGUCGGUGAUGUCACACAUGAUGCUAUCGACGCUGACAGCAUAACAUUCCAUCUCAAAUUCUGAAUUAUCGACACUAUUGAUCCAGUAAUACCAUCCAGCAGUAUAUCCAAACUUCCAACAAACAGUGAGAAGUCAACACAGCUUGCUUUGAUUCGGCCUAAUAGAUUCAUCAGCAGGCAACAAAAUCUCAGAGAAAACACCUGCCAAAGACAUCAUAGACUCAACCGAUUCAGCUCUAGGAGAGAACAUAGGCUCCACAGCAGAAGGCAGAACGAGGAAAAACCAAGAAUCAGCCGCUACAUAGGGGAAAAAG